UUUUUGCUCUCAAGAUAGAAGGUGUUUUUAACUGAGUGGCUUGUCUUUCGUUCAAGAAAAAAUAUCUUUGGUAAGAAGAAGAAACAGAUGCCUCUCGUCGCUCAAGUGCGGAGGAGGUUGCAAUACGCAUCAUUGGGGCCAAUGAGAAAGAGAGUCGUUCGUCGCGACAUCGUUGAGGUGCAACGGUGGGGAUCCAAGCUGUGAGGAGGCACACAAUAGUAUGCAUUUGUGUGCCAUCGGAGUGUAUCCUUGUUCUUGCUGCGACCAAUAGGCCGUUUGACCUGGAUGAAGCAAUAAUUAGGAGAUUUGAAAGGAGGUAUGUCUACUAGUUCUUGACUUGCUUUUUGUUCUGGGCACAGAUGGCAUAUAUAUGUUGGUGACAAUCUGAAUACUCUGAAAUUCAGUAAUACUUUAUCAUUUGUAAUUACUGUAACGCUCAUCUUUUGUUAACAUAAUAAUGGUGGGGAUGCCAAGCGCGGAAACGGGGAAAAAUUUUUGAGGACUCUUUUGCGAAAAGAAAAGGUGGACAAGAAAUUUGAUUUUAAGGAACUCGCAACUAUGACAGAAGGAUACAGCGGAAGUGAUCUCAAGAUAACUUCAGAUGAAUCAUGGCUAUCCUUUGAUGAAGAAGCAUAUGUUCUACACAAUAAGGUUCGUGCCUUUUCAGGGUGGCCAGGAACUCGAGCAAGAGUGUUAGUGAUUGAGAAAAAUGGUGAGCAGAAAACUUUGGAUAUUAAAAUUAUAACCACACGACUUAGCAGUCAUGAAAGUGUGCAGUUCAAUGAAGCAGAUGAUGUUGCAUUUGUUGAGGGUGCGUUGGUAUUUCCAUGUGGAAGGGGUACCACACUUGAGGUAUUGGAACUUCAGCUUCCUGGAAAAGAGGCAGUAAAUGCAGCUGCCUUCUGGAAUGGGCUGCGUGGGCAGAAGCUGAAGAAAUUAUGAACAAGGAGAAAAGGCAGAAAGGUGUUGAAGAACAGAAUAACAAUGCGGGAAAUACCCAAGAUGGUAUGGAAGCAAAAGAGGAAGUUAAGCAGGAAAAAGUAAUUUUCCUUAGACCUCUGAACAUGCAAGACUUCAAAGAGGCUAGGAGUCAGAUGUUUGCAGAAGAAGUUAUGAAUUUUGUUGAGCCACAAGGUAUCUGGUCAAAGAAGUGUUUGUAAUAUCAAGUACCGCAUUAGAAGGAUGUUAUUUAAUUUUUCAUUAUGUUUAUUUUUCUUAUUUAAAACAAAUAACAUUGUAAUUGUUAAUUUUAACUUUUACACUUUGUCAUAUUGUAGACUUUGUUCAUUGUCCCUUUUAUAGAUGUUAUAUGCAUAAAUUAUAAUUACCAAAAAA